rnacentral:rRNA from 1 species
GAUGAACGCUGACAGAAUGCUUAACACAUGCAAGUCUACUUGAAUUUGGGUUUUUAACUUAGGUUUGGGUGGCGGACGGGUGAGUAACGCGUAAAGAACUUGCCUCACAGCUAGGGACAACAUUUAGAAAUGAAUGCUAAUACCUAAUAUUAUGAUAAUAGGGCAUCCUAUAAUUAUGAAAGCUAUAUGCGCUGUGAGAGAGCUUGCGUCCCAUUAGCUAGUUGGAGAGGUAACGGCUCACCAAGGCGAUGAUGGGUAGCCGGCCUGAGAGGGUGAUCGGCCACAAGGGGACUGAGACACGGCCCUUACUCCUACGGGAGGCAGCAGUGGGGAAUAUUGGACAAUGGACCGAGAGUCUGAUCCAGCAAUUCUGUGUGCACGAUGAAGUUUUUCGGAAUGUAAAGUGCUUUCAGUUGGGAAGAAAGAAAUGACGGUACCAACAGAAGAAGUGACGGCUAAAUACGUGCCAGCAGCCGCGGUAAUACGUAUGGGGCGAGCGUUGUCCGGAAUUAUUGGGCGUAAAGGGUACGUAGGCGGUUUUUUAAGUCAGGUGUGAAAGCGUGAGGCUUAACCUCAUUAAGCACUUGAAACUGGAAGACUUGAGUGAAGGAGAGGAAAGUGGAAUUCCUAGUGUAGCGGUGAAAUGCGUAGAUAUUAGGAGGAAUACCGGUGGCGAAGGCGACUUUCUGGACUUUUACUGACGCUCAGGUACGAAAGCGUGGGGAGCAAACAGG